rnacentral:lncRNA from 1 species
UACACUUGUAAUAGACUAUUAAAUGUGAAAAGUGCUUGUUUAAACUAUUCUACAAUUGUUAUCAGAUCAAAUAUGUAGUGCUUUUUGUCAAUUUGCUAAAUGUUUGCUUAUGUUAUUUGAAUGUAUUGUUUUCUGUGUGCACUGUGUACAAAUAAAUGAUAUAUGAUUCAAAAUAGAUUUAUUUCUCUUCUUUGUUUGCUAUAAAAAAAAACGAGUGAAAAUAUCUUCCACAACACAGUUUCAAGAUAAU